AUUUUUGUUAGUUCACUACAGUGCUCUUAAUAUUGACUAGUUGUGGACAAACGCAAGCUCCUGAUCUGCCCUUAAUUGGGUGUAUCAGCUGUAAGUUUGCGGACGUACCUUGAACAAAUCGGCUUGUUCAAAGUAGGCCUAGUGCCUGGACAUUCUAGCAUGGAAUGUUCGAUCGAGACCUGAUCGUUUGGUCGGAAACGAGUAAGGUCCAGGUCAAAAGAGACAUUUGGGGGCAUAAGAACUCGGCCGCGAGAGGUGAAAUUCUAAGACCGGCCGAGGUCUAACAAAAGCGAAAGCAUUUGCCAAGAAUGUUUUCAUUGAUCAAGAACGAAAGUUGGAGGAGCGAAAACGAUCAGAUACCGUUGUAGUUCCAACUUUAAACUAUGCCGGCUGUUGGGGCCAGUUCGGUACAUCCGUACUAAUUGACCUCCCAGGGAAACCUUAGCAGGGUUCUGGGGGGAGUACGGUCGCAAGUCUGAAACUUAAAGGAAUUGACGGAAGGGCACCACCAGGAGUGGAGCCUGCGGCUUAAUUUGACUCAACGCGGGGAAACUUACCCGGUCCGGACAUCGGAAGGAUUGACAGACUGAUCGCUCUUUCAUGAUACGGUGAAAGGUGGUGCAUGGCCGUUCAUAGUUGGUGGAGCGAUUUGUCUGGUUAAUUCCGUUAACGAACGAGACUUCUUCCUUCAUUUAGUAGAUUUAAUUGGGGUUUAGAUCAACUAAUUGAAGGGACUAACGCUAUUUAAAAGCGUAGGAAGUAAUCCGAUAACAGG
rnacentral:rRNA from 1 species